GCAGCUGGAAGCGGUGGUCACCUUGGAGACGCUGAUUUCUGAGUGCGGCUGACGAGGAGCACCAGGCCUUUGGGAGAUCACACUGCAUUACACAGCAGCGUCCCACAGUCUGGAGAGUUACCAGGCCAUUUCCAGGAAUCAGAGAGCAUCGCUCCAAAGGAUCCUGGCAGCCGUGACAAAUUUACUCUCUCCGCAGUCGUUUCUGCGCACAGCUAUGGCUGCUGGCGUCCCCUGGGUGGUUCAGAAAAGUGUGUCUCGGACCUCCAUCUACUUAAGUCCAUUAAAAUUGAUGUGUCCUUCACUUCACACAAACUCAUGCCUAAAGUCCUAAAUUUACAAAUAAAAUGUGGAUUAUUUGCAUCAUGAAAGAAUUCUUUACAAAGACCAGAAAUCACAUGGGGACCAUAUUCAGAAACUGAAGAUCUUCUCAUUUGACCCUCCAUCGUGAGACAAAUGAAACUGCUGAUUUAUCAAGCUGAGACCAGGUGAAAGGAUUUGGAGCUGAGACCCGGGCCUUGGGUGUAAUUAGAGACCCAAGCGGGAGCUCUCUGUCUGAGCAGAGCUGGGUCUCCAACUCUUGAGAAGUCACUUUCAGUUCUGAGAGAGAAGUUCCUUUUGAAAACAGAACCGUGGAGAACUGCCUUCGAAUUUUGUUUCUCGAGAGUUCCUGAAACCUCCCUGUGGUUGUUGAUGUUUGUCUCUUUCUGGUCCUUGCUAGCUGGUUUCGCAGGAUCUUUCCUACACGAGCAUCCCAGAUGAAGGUGCAGAGGGAGCUCACAAGGCACAUCCCGUUCAGGCUCACAUUGUUCUCAACUGGAUGCUUAUGUCUCGGGGAUCCCCUGGCCAGUGACGCCCUUCUCAACAGCCUCAGGUCCCACCCGGGAACUGCCUCCUUAAACCUUUACUCACUUAGAAAACUUGCUGCACAAAAGAUGUGGCUUGGACUCACCUUAUUUUCACUAGACCGAUUUUAAUCUGGUUUUGGGAAAGGCUAGUUUGUAUCUUUUCCAUGGGGGAAAGAUUAUGUACUGUGAUUUUUCCUCUUACUCUCGGGAGCAUACUACUGUAGUUCGGAACGAAGGGGAUAUUUUAAGUGAUCCAAUCCCCAACUUCCAGUUUGAUUGCAUGUGAAUUUAGAUUCUUAAAUGCUUGUCAUCCCAGUGUUAAGAGCAAAGAAUUUUUAUUGUUUUCUGGAGUAAGCAGUGACCAUCGACAGAUCAAACAAGGCCAAUGGAUAGAAGCCUCCCUCAGAGGAAAGAAGAGGAGAUGGCAUGGGCGUCAACGCUGGGAACUUCUAGACUAAUCCUCAUUUACAAAAAUUUUAUUCUCUUUAAAAAUUAGGAAGUGUGCAUAAAAUGUGAUUGAAUUUUUAUACCCUUAUAAGAAUGAUUAUAUAAGUAAGAGUUAAGAACAUUUUUAAAGGGAGUUCUUUACCAGAACACGUGUCCUGGAUCUUGGUUUGGGAAACGCAGUCACCAGGGGAUAGAAACAUGUGGCCCAGAUUGCAGCAUGUUCUUGGUUUUCUAAUUUGAAUUACAAUAAUUACACUUAUUUUGUAUCAUAAAGAUGGUUAUAAAUUUCAGGUCAAUUCAUGCCUUUCAAUAGGGAAUGAAAGUCUAAUUUAAAACACAAAG